rnacentral:lncRNA from 1 species
CCCCACCACCUUAACUUCCCCAUCUUCUUGUCUAAGCCCCUUGAGUUGAGUUUGUCUAAGUGUUUCAACAGAGCAAAAGGAAAAGCCAGUAAGACAUCUGCGAUUGAAUGUCUUGCGAUAAGCAACUUAAAAGAAGGGUUUGCCUUCACUUACAUUUCAAGGAGAUUCGAACUGUCUGGGAGGGGAAUGGCAGAAGAAGCAGGAAGCUGGUCGUGCUAUAUCCUCGACAGGAAGCAGAGGAGGAAGAAUGCUAACUCUCAGCUCACUUCCUCAUUUUUACUCAGAGGGUCUUGCCUCACGGACUAAACACCUCUGGAAACACCUUCACAGAAAUACCCAAUCAAACUGACAGCAAAGAUGAACUGUGGGGGACAAUGGAAACUGAGGUUGGAAGUGAUAGGCAGGACAAGCAGAGAAUUCUCCUCCUGAGACCAGUUGCCUUAGUGGUGGCCAAAGAGCUCCCCACUUUUACUGUAUUUCCUAGAAUAGGAUUCCAUAGAAAUAAACCCCAAAGUCCUAUUCAGUCGCAACAUAAAAAAGAGAGGAGCAGGAGAGUCUGAAUUAUGGGGUCAGGGCCCCAAGCCUAGAGAGUCACAUGGGCCGAGGAGUCCUGAGAUGUGCUUCUCACUGUCAGCCCCAGACCCCUGAUCGCAGAUACAAAGUCAGGCUAUUGAUAAUGUUCUGUCAUUGACGUUCUAUAACCUGCAGACGUUAAAC